rnacentral:rRNA from 1 species
GGUGAACGCUGGCGGCGUGCCUAAUACAUGCAAGCCGACAAAUGGGGCGAACGGGUGAGUAACACGUGGGCAACCUGCCCGAAAGAGGGGGAUAACACUUGGAAACAGGUGCUAAUACCGCAUACUUUCGGAUGGGCCCGCGGCGCAUUAGCUAGUUGGUGGGGUAAAGGCUUACCAAGGCAAUGAUGCGUAGCCGAACUGAGAGGUUGAUCGGCCACAUUGGGACUGAGACACGGCCCAAACUCCUACGGGAGGCAGCAGUAGGGAAUCUUCCACAAUGGGCGAAAGCCUGAUGGAGCAACGCCGCGUGGGUGAAGAAGGUCUUCGGAUCGUAAAACCCUGUUGUCAGAGAAGCGGUAUCUGACCAGAAAGCCACGGCUAACUACGUGCCAGCAGCCGCGGUAAUACGUAGGUGGCAAGCGUUAUCCGGAUUUAUUGGGCGUAAAGGGAACGCAGGCGGUCUUUUAAGUCUGAUGUGAAAGCCUUCGGCCUAACCGGAGUAGGCAUUGGAAGCUGGGAGACUUGAGUGCAGAAGAGGAGAGUGGAACUCCAUGUGUAGCGGUGAAAUGCGUAGAUAUAUGGAAGAACACCAGUGGCGAAAGCGGCUCUCUGGUCUGUAACUGACGCUGAGGUUCGAAAGCGUGGGUAGCAAACAGGAUUAGAUACCUGGUAGUCCACGCCGUAAACGAUGAAUGCUAAGUUUGGACAGUGCUGCAGUUAACACAAUAAGCAUUCCGCCUGGGAGUACGACCGCAAGGUUGCAACUCAAUGAAUUGACGGA